UACAGAGGUCUCAAGCGUUGUUCGGAUUCAUUGGGCGUAAAGGGUGCGUAGGUGGCGCCGUAAGUCAGGUGUGAAAUUUCGGAGCUUAACUCCGAAACUGCAUUUGAUACUGCGGUGCUUGAGGACUGGAGAGGAAACUGGAAUUCACGGUGUAGCAGUGAAAUGCGUAGAUAUCGUGAGGAAGACCAGUGGGCGAAGGCGGGUCUCUUGGACAGUUCCUG
rnacentral:rRNA from 1 species